ACCUUGAUUUUUGUACGUUGAAAGAAUGUCAUCGGUAACCUCAAGAGUUUUCUGGGAAAACAAACCUUCAGAGCCACCAAGAAAUCCAAACAAUAUACUAUUUGGGUUGUGGACUUUGAGAGCAUUAUGAAGCCCCCAUAUGACGUUAUGGCCUCCAGGGGAUUGCCUUCCACAAAAAACUAUUCCCACCCGGAUGGCUGGAUGUACAGUAAUAAUUUGAGCAUCGGGGACUUUAGCAGUUGCCCUGAGAAAGUGAGCCAAUGGUUGACCGUAAGUGUGGGGAAAGGCCCGACUAAUGGUGGGGGCAUCAGCAGGAUCCACAGCUGUAGUGCCAUCUCCAAAUUCAACCCUGACCGCUGUUCCCUGGAGACAAGGAGGGAGGUCGGGUUGGUAGAGAGAGCGGAUUUUCUGAAGAUCGGAGAGUUGACGGGGAAUGCCGUAAUCGGAGUCCAUGGCGGAUGCAGGAUGAAGGAGAAGAGUGAAGAGUGAGCGAGGAGGGAAGGUUGUAACUUGUAAGGGCUGAG
rnacentral:misc_RNA from 1 species